AGUGCGUGCGUGAGCGAGUGAGCGAAAAGGAGAGCGCGCGGCGGACGCGCCCGGGACGCGCGGCGGCACCGGGAGGCCGGGCCGAGCGGUUUUGAGAGAUUACCUGAAGUUGCACUCAAAAGCAAGAUAUACUACUAACUUUGAAAUGGAAUAAGAACAUAAGAGAGCAGCUGCCCAUGCCAAAUAGUUACCUCUUUUAAACUCAUUCUAGUGGAGCAAAUGGCCCUCCCUAUCCUGAAGACAUUAGCUGAGAGUCUGGCACCUUUUAAAAGUCUGAUCAUCAAUUGUCUCUCUGGGCGGCCACCUAUGAGACUUCAUCUGUGUGCUUUAUAAAUAGCAGUCCAGGGCAACAGUACUUGAUAAAAAGGUUAUACCUUAUUGGUGUGGAUGUUGUCUAAAUUUCGGUAGCCAUGGCACAAGAAUAUAGAUGUGGAGAAAGUUUGGGACCUCAAGAGAAAGAGUGGAUGUCUACAGCUGCACAAGGAAGGGCAAACCAGCAGAGCUCCUGGGACCUGCUGAAGGAGGAAAGAUGCCCGAGAGCUGGGCAGAGGAAAAUCCCUCCUGCUUUCAACAACUAUGCAUUUCCAAAUG
rnacentral:sRNA from 1 species